CGCAACUCCGGGCCGGCCCCUUGCGUCGCGUCAACAGCGGAGGCCGCGCGGCCUGGGUUUACUCCAACGCUGUGGACGUAACGUCAUCCUUGCGGGACGUGGACGGAAGAAAAGGGAGCAUACCUUGGUCAGUGACCACCUCGCAGCAUGUUGAGUCGAGUCUGCCGCUCUGGGUCCCCGUCCUUCACCCACCGUCUCCUGCCCUGGGUCCAAUCCACAACACUCUCCAGAUCUUGUCGUGUCCAGCCUUCAGCCAUCAGACAUGUUCGUUCUUGGAGCAACAUCCCCUUUAUCACGGUACCCCUCAGUCGUGCGCAUGGCAAGUCUUUUGCCCACCGCAGUGAGCUGAAGCAUGCCAAGAGAAUCGUGGUGAAACUCGGAAGUGCCGUGGUGACCCGAGGGGAUGAAUGUGGCCUGGCACUGGGGCGCCUGGCGUCUAUUGUUGAGCAGGUGUCAGUACUGCAGAAUCAAGGCCGAGAGAUGAUGCUGGUGACUAGUGGAGCUGUAGCCUUUGGCAAGCAACGCUUGCGCCAUGAGAUCCUUCUGUCUCAGAGCGUGCGGCAGGCCCUACACUCGGGGCAGAACCAGCUGAAGGAGAUGGCAAUUCCAGUCUUAGAAGCCCGAGCCUGUGCAGCCGCCGGACAGAGUGGGCUGAUGGCCUUGUAUGAAGCCAUGUUUACCCAGUACAGCAUCUGCGCUGCCCAGAUUUUGGUGACCAAUUUGGAUUUCCACGAUGAGCAGAAGCGCCGGAACCUCAAUGGGACACUUCAUGAGCUCCUCCGAAUGAACAUCGUCCCCAUUGUCAACACAAACGAUGCUGUUGUGCCCCCAGCAGAGCCCAAUAGUGAUCUCCAGGGGGUAAAUGUUAUUAGUGUUAAAGAUAACGAUAGCCUGGCUGCCCGUCUGGCUGUGGAAAUGAAGACUGACCUCUUAAUUGUUCUUUCAGAUGUAGAAGGCCUCUUUGACAACCCCCCAGGGUCAGAUGAUGCAAAGCUCAUUGAUAUAUUUUAUCCUGGUGAUCAGCAGUCUGUGACAUUCGGAACCAAGUCCAGAGUGGGAAUGGGUGGCAUGGAAGCCAAGGUGAAAGCAGCCCUCUGGGCUUUGCAAGGUGGUACUUCUGUGGUCAUUGCCAAUGGGACCCACCCGAAGGUGUCUGGGCAUGUCAUCACAGACAUUGUGGAGGGAAAGAAAGUUGGCACCUUCUUUUCCGAAGUAAAGCCUGCAGGCCCUACCGUGGAGCAGCAGGGAGAAAUGGCUCGAUCAGGAGGAAGGAUGUUGGCCACUUUGGAACCUGAGCAGAGAGCAGAGAUUAUCCAUCAUCUGGCUGAUCUGUUGACGGACCAGCGAGAUGAGAUCCUGUUAGCCAACAAAAAAGACUUGGAGGAGGCAGAAGGGAGACUCGCAGCCCCUCUGCUGAAACGUUUGAGCCUUUCCACGUCUAAAUUGAACAGCCUGGCUAUCGGUCUGCGGCAGAUCGCAGCCUCCUCACAGGACAGCGUGGGGCGGGUUUUGCGCCGGACCCGAAUUGCCAAAGACUUGGAGCUCGAACAAGUGACUGUCCCAAUUGGAGUUCUACUGGUCAUCUUUGAAUCUCGCCCUGACUGUCUACCCCAGGUGGCAGCCUUGGCUAUCGCAAGUGGUAAUGGCUUGUUACUCAAAGGAGGGAAGGAGGCCUCACACAGCAACCGGAUUCUUCACCUCCUGACCCAGGAGGCCCUCUCAAUCCAUGGAAUCAAGGAGGCCGUACAGCUGGUGAAUACCAGAGAAGAAGUGGAAGAUCUUUGCCGCCUAGACAAAAUGAUAGAUCUAAUCAUUCCACGCGGCUCCUCUCAGCUGGUCAGAAACAUCCAGAAAGCUGCUAAGGGCAUUCCAGUGAUGGGGCACAGUGAAGGCAUCUGCCACAUGUACGUGGACUCAGAGGCCAGUGUCGACAAGGUCACCAGACUAGUUAGAGACUCUAAAUGCGAAUAUCCAGCCGCCUGUAAUGCUUUAGAGACUCUGUUAAUCCACCGAGAUCUGCUGAGAACACCAUUAUUUGACCAGAUCAUUGACAUGCUGAGAGUGGAACAGGUGAAGAUUCACGCAGGCCCCAAGUUCGCCUCCUAUCUGACCUUCAGCCCCUCCGAAGUGAAGUCCCUCCGAACUGAGUACGGGGACCUGGAACUGUGCAUUGAAGUGGUGGACAGUGUGCAGGAGGCCAUCGACCACAUCCACAAGUAUGGCAGCUCCCACACGGACGUCAUCGUCACAGAGAAUGAGAAGACAGCAGAGUUCUUCCUCCAGCACGUGGAUAGUGCCUGUGUGUUCUGGAACGCCAGCACUCGCUUCUCUGAUGGCUACCGCUUCGGACUGGAUGAGGAUACUGAGAUUCAAAGAAAUGAAGUAACUUGCCCAAAGUCAUGCAGCUGGUGUUCAGACCCAGACUUCCGUGAGUCCAGAGCCUGGACUCUGCCACGUACAGCAGACCACAGUGUGUCUGCAUGCAUGGAUUAUGACAGGUGUGCAUGCCAAGGUCCCGUGGGAGCACUGCCGCUGCAGACUUACUCCUUCAGAGGGACGCAGCCAGGUUGCCUCAGAGCUAGGAAUCCACCCUGAGGACAGGACAAAAGAAGGUGUUAGUACCUAUGCUGGGCUGAAGUAUGAGCAUCAGAAACAAACAGAAAAACCUGAAGCAAGAGAUGGUUAGGUAACCUGCCCAAAGUCAUGUGAUCUCUACGCUAUUAACCCAGAAUUUGAAGCCAGUGGUCACCAUCUCCUUGCCGACCACUGCCCCAGGCACCUCUGCAUUCGGGUCCUCACUUGCUCCUCUCUGCCUGCAGCGGCUCUCCACUGCUGUCCCCUGGCCGGCUCCUUCUCAUUCAGGUUUCAGCCAAAGGCACCUGCUCGGGGAGGCUCCCACUGACCACCCUAUCCAGGGUGCUGCCGCCCUGCCACACAGUCUCUGUCCCAGCACCCUUUGCUGCACCCCAUCACCACAUGGAAUUAUUUGUUGAACUGUUCUUUGGCUGCCUUGCCCACAAGAAUACAAGCUCCAUGAAUUACAUCAGUUGUUUACCACUUCAUCCCCGGGUCCCAGCCCAGUGCCUGCUCAGUGAAGUUGUGAUGAGCAAAGGAGCCCUGCCUCAACUGCACACGGUGCAGAACACCAAGCCAGACCUGGGAAGAGCCCCGGUGCCUCACAUCUGAGGCUGGAGCAGGAGGGAGGAAAAUGAAAAGCUCUCUUUGGUGUAGUCAGCAGCCAUCUCAUGAGCACCUAGGAGCUAGGCGUUCUAGGGAAUACCUAGAACAUGUCCCUUACCAUCUAGGGUUUAAAGGAUACUCGGGGAGAUGAAACCUCUCUACACUGUCGUACACCAGAAACAAUACCCAGAUGUCAGAUGAUGGUACGCAAUCCAGACACGACAGAUAUCGGAGACAGCACUUGUAGUAUUGUCAAAAUGGAUUGGGGAUAAAAUACAAAGGAGAGGCCCACGGUCAGGCCCCUUCUUCUUUUCUUAAAGAAGGGGCCUGACCGUGACUCACAGCAACCAGAGAACAUGUUUAUGGGGACAGUGGAAGUCAGGCUAGCCCAGGGAGGAUGGGUCAGGAGAGGGCAGAGAGAGGGGGCCAAGUGAGGAGAAGGAAGAGAUGCAGGCCUGGCGGGUGGUCAGGAAGCAGAGGCUGGGAAAGCCACACCCUCAUCCGUGCUUUUCCACAGGAGCUGAAGUGGGGAUCAGUACAUCUCGAAUCCACGCCCGGGGACCCGUGGGACUGGAGGGACUGCUUACUACCAAGUGGCUGCUGCGAGGCCAGGACCACGUGGUCUCGGACUUCUCAGAGCAUGGAAGUUUAAAGUACCUU